rnacentral:rRNA from 1 species
UAUGUGAUCGUCUCUCGCAUAUCAAUAAGCGGAGGAAAAGAAACUAACAAGGAUUCCCCUAGUAACGGCGAGUGGAGCGGGAAGAGCUCAAAUUUGAAAUCUUAAAGGGUUUCCCUUUACGAAUUGUAGUUUAAAGAAGUGUUUUCUGUUGAGGUUUUGGUAAAAGUUCUUUGGAAUAGGACAUCAUAGAGGGUGAGAAUCCCGUAUUUGACCUUUACUUUCAACUUUGUGAUACACUUUCAAAGAGUCGGAUUGUUUGGGAAUGCAGUCCAAAAUGGGUGGUAAAUUUCAUCUAAAGCUAAAUAUUGGCGAGAGACCGAUAGCGAACAAGUACCGUGAGGGAAAGAUGAAAAGAACUUUGAAAAGAGAGUUAAACAGUACGUGAAAUUGUCAAAAGGGAAGCGUUUGACACCAGUGUUGUUUUUCUGAAAAUCAAUUAAAGAACUGUUUAUGCUAAGUUGUUUAGACUUUAUCAGCUAUCUGUUUAGUUUUGAGCUUUUCUUUAAUGCACUUUUCAGUUAACAAGUCAACAUCAAUUUCUUUUGCUGUAAAAAAGCUUGAGGAAGGUGGCUUGAGAUUCGUCUUAAGUGUUUAUAGCCUCUUGCCUAUGCAGUCGGAGAGAUUGAGGUCUGCAGCGUAGAUCCUUCGGGGCUAAAUGCAUUUGUGCUAAGUUAUAGCAUUUUAUAGACAACUUGUUGACUAUGAUUUGUCUUGUAGCUUACUCGCUUAUGUUAUUUUACCUACGCUUAGGAUGUUGAUCUACAGAGCGAGAGU